AGAGUUUGAUCAUGGCUCAGGACGAACGCUGGCGGCGUGCCUAACACAUGCAAGUCGAGCGGGGACACGGGGCUUCGGUUCUGUGUUCUAGCGGCGGACGGGUGAGUAACGCGUGAGCAAUCUGUCCCAGACAGGGGGAUAACAACUGGAAACAGUUGCUAAUACCGCAUAAGACCACGGCCUCGCAUGGGGCUGGGGUAAAAGUGGAAACACGGUUUGGGGUGAGUUCGCGUCCCAUUAGCUAGUUGGUGAGGUAACGGCCCACC
rnacentral:rRNA from 1 species